rnacentral:rRNA from 1 species
UGGCUGGAGGCUUACACGAUGCAAGUCGAGACGCCCCGCAAUGGGAGUGGCAUGACGGGUGAGUAACACGUGGGGAACAGUACCCUUCGGUUCGGAACGAACUGCCGGGAAAGCUUGGCUGCUAAAUACCGGAGUACGUGCAUUGGAGGGCGAAAGAUUCAUCGCCGAAGGAUUGGCCCGCGUUCGAUUAGCUUGUUGGUGAGGUAACGGACUCACCAAGUGCGACGAUCGAUAGCUGGUCUGAGAGGAUGGCCAGCCACAUUGGGACUGAGACACGGCACCAAACUCCUACGGGAGUGCAGCAGUGGGGAAUAUUGGACAAUGGGCGCAAGCCUGAUCCAGCCAUGCCGACGUGAGUGAUGACGGCCUUAAGGGUUUGUAAAGCUCUUUCGAACAGCGAAAGAUAAUGACGGUAAGCGUGAGAACGAAGGCCCACGGCUAAACUUCGUUGACCAAGCAAGGCCGCAGGAUAUCACGAAG